UAGAAUAAACGGAGUGCAUAAGUUACAGAAAUAAUAAGAUUACAUACUAUAUGUAUGCAUACACAGACUGAGGUCGGGCCGGGAGGUCUGGACGCCCUGAGCCAACUAAGAAGCCGGUGCCAACAAAAAUAAAGUCUUUUGUGGAGGACCCGAGGCGAUAGCCAGCUUGUGCCCAACAUCAUGCACUAAUACCGAUAUUUGUAUUGUGCAACUCCGUCGAACUUCUUUGGAUUGUUGAUCCUUAAAAGUAAUUAUGUAAUGAGUACGAAAACGUGGUAUUUUUUAAGGACAGCUCAGGACAGAGUCCUGGAUCUGAAUAGAGCAUGGAACCUUCUGAGGUAACCGCGAGACCAGUUUAAUAUACAUUUAAGUAAUCUCUAUAUAAGAUUUAAGGCUUGCCCCAAACCAAUUUAGAAACCAUUAGGAUAGAGAACAAGACUUUUUGCUUUGGUUGACUCAAUUUAUCUAAAACUAAAA